UCUUCAGCUCAGCUGGUAGAGCAUGAGACUCUUAAUCUUGGGGUUCUGAGUUUGAUCUCCACAUUAGGAA